rnacentral:rRNA from 1 species
UACGAAGGGGGGCUAGCGUUGUUCGGAAUUACUGGGCGUAAAGCGCACGUAGGCGGAUCGAUCAGUCAGGGGUGAAAUCCCAGAGCUCAACUCUGGAACUGCCUUUGAUACUGUCGAUCUGGAGUAUGGAAGAGGUGAGUGGAAUUCCGAGUGUAGAGGUGAAAUUCGUAGAUAUCGGGAGGAACACCAGUGGCGAAGGCGGCGACCUGGGCCAAUACUGACGCUGAGGUGCGAAAGCGUGGGGAGCAAACAGG